rnacentral:rRNA from 1 species
AGCGAACGCUGGCGGCAGGCUUAACACAUGCAAGUCGAACGGAAACUUCCGGGUUAGUGGCGAAUGGGCGAGUAAAAGGUGGGAACGUACGUUUAGGAUCGGAAUUGCACCUCGGAAUAAGCGGUAAUGACGAAUGUGCAUACCGGGGGAGAGCUUUUUCGCCUGUAGAGGGGCCAGCGUCUGAUUAGUUAGUUGGUGAGGCAACGGCUCACCGAGACGACGAUCAGUAACUGGUUUGAGAGGCUGACCAGCCACACUGGGAUUGAGACACGGCCCAGACGCCUACCGGAGGCAGCAGUGAGUAAUCUUGCGCAAUGGGCGUAAGGCGGACGCAGCCAUUCCGCGAGAAUGAUGAUGGUCUUAUGAUUGUAUAAUUCUUUCACCGAGGAUGAUUGUGACGGUACCCGGAUAAGAAGCCCCGGCUAACUUCGUG